GAUGAACGCUGGCGGCGUGCCUAAUACAUGCAAGUAGAACGCUGAAGCUUGGUGCUUGCACCGAGCGGAUGAGUUGCGAACGGGUGAGUAACGCGUAGGUAACCUGCCUCUUAGCGGGGGAUAACUAUUGGAAACGAUAGCUAAUACCGCAUAAAAGUCGAUAUCGCAUGAUAUUGAUUUGAAAGGUGCAAAUGCAUCACUAAGAGAUGGACCUGCGUUGUAUUAGCUAGUUGGUGAGGUAACGGCUCACCAAGGCGACGAUACAUAGCCGACCUGAGAGGGUGAUCGGCCACACUGGGACUGUGACACGGCCCAGACUCCUACGGGAGGCAGCAGUAGGGAAUCUUCGGCAAUGGGGGCAACCCUGACCGAGCAACGCCGCGUGAGUGAAGAAGGUUUUCGGAUCGUAAAGCUCUGUUGUAAGAGAAGAACGAGUGUGAGAGUGGAAAGUUCACACUGUGACGGUAACUUACCAGAAAGGGACGGCUAACUACGUG
rnacentral:rRNA from 1 species